rnacentral:rRNA from 1 species
AAAAAGCUUCCGUGGGUGAACCUGCGGAAGGAUCAUUGCCGAUUGCUCCGCAGAGGUUUCCGCGUGCUUGACCGUGUGGAGGGGUACUUCAGCUCUCCCCCAUCGAAAAGUAAAUGAAAGCCCAAGCCGAGAGUCUCCUGCCAAAAAGCUUCCGUAGGUGAACCUGGUGGCUGCGGAAAGAUCGUUAAUGGAUGCCACUCCGGGGGGUUUCCGCCUGACCACCGUCCAUCGCCGGACGCGGGGGCGUCCGCGUAGCACGGCUCUUCCCCCUGUCGGAAAAGGAAUAGUCGCGGCGGUGAGCCGGCAUCGUGCCUAGCGAUUGAGCCCUAGCGGGCCGCGGGCGUCUGCCCCCGUCCGUCGCUCUUAGUCCCGGGCCCGGCCCCGCGCCCACUUGACCGGCUUGACGCCAAGCCUCCUCCCCCCCCGCACCACCCUCCGGCUCAGCGCCGCAUCCCGGCUAGGUCCGCGCCGAGGGCCGACAGGCUGGCCGUAGUCGGGCCUACAACGCUCGGAGGCGUCAGGGGGGGGUGCGUCGGCGCCUCCGUGUCAGGUUCGACCGCCGGGCCCGGAAAACCUCGGAACCUCAACCUCCAGCGCGGUGCGGUGGCCUCGCCCCGGUCGCCCUCCGCGCGCCUCCGGGUACCCAACUCGCCUCUCGCCUACGGGGUGAUGAUGGGGGGUUCAAUGUCUCCCACCCCCGUUUGUUCCUCGCGCCCGACAGGGAGGGAGUGCCUGGGAGCUUUACCGCCUAACCCUGUAAAACCCGUAGUCUCCGAACCGUGAGCGCACCCACGACAAAUCAAAAAAAAAAAGUUGACAACUCUUAGCGGUGGAUCACUCGGCUCGUGCGUCGAUGAAGAACGCAGCAAAGACUGAGAACUCAUGUGAAUUGCAGGACACAUUGAUCAUCGAAACUUCGAACGCACCUUGCGGCCCCGGGUUACUCCCGGGGCUACGGCUGUCUGAGGGUCGCUUUGACAUCAAUCGGAAAGGCCGUUCUACCGCGUGCCUUCUCGCGGGUGUGGCCGACGCUGGCAUCCGUUGCGUUCCCCUAAGCGCAGACGGCUGAGGAGUCUCUCGCCACCUCGGUUGCGGUUGUGGCGCGGUGUCAGGCCUACCGCCCUUCCGUCAUACCCGUGGGAUCCAGUGCGCCAGUUCCUCUCUUCCUCAUUCUCCCGUCGAACCAAGACUCCCCGGGCGAAGGGUCGCCCCGACGGGCGCCGCAUGAGUCGGGAGAGGCUGCCGGUAGACAGACUAUGUCUCUCCGCGCUGACCGCGUUACGCGUGGACCCGGUUCCGACGGGAACUCUGCGGCUGGGAGUACGAGGUUCGGGGGUCGUCCUCGGUGUUUGGGCGGUGGCGGCACAUAGGGAACUCUCCGGUUCGACGCGGCGCACUCCACCUUCGGAGGCGUUACGACCCCCCCAGGCCAUCCCGGAGCGCCUGAGCCCCCCCUUCCACUAGUGGGACGGGGG